CUAUCGGAUAAAAUUAUGUUUUGAGGACUGAAGGUCUUAGCUAAUCUUAAGUCGAAUUAAGUCAGCAUGAUUCGUGAUUAAAUAUUUUUAUAGCACUUUAGGUGAAAAAUAUCGUGGUCUUUUUUUAUAUAAAGAUGAAGGACAUGCAAGAGUAAAUAUUAUUUUUUGUCUAGUUCAAGUUAUUAUCAGUUUAAAUAAAGGGGGUUUAAGUGGGCUAAGUACGUUUUUUAUCAGACGGUCAGACUUCUGCUCUCUUCUGAAACGAAAAAA